rnacentral:rRNA from 1 species
GACGAACGCUGGCGGCGUGCUUAACACAUGCAAGUCGCACGAAGUGGCGAACGGGUGAGUAUUACGUGGGUAACCUGCCCUCCUUUUUGGGAUAAGCCUUGGCAACGGGGUCUAAUACCGAAUAAAGGGGGAUGGGCUCGCGGCCUAUCGGCUUGUUGGUGGGGUGAUGGCCUACCAAGGCGGUGACGGGUAGACGGCCUGAGCGGGUAACCGGCGACAUUGGUACGGAGAUACGGCCCAGCCGAGGACGGGAGGCAGCAGUGGGGGGUAUGGCACAAUGGGCGAAAGCCUGAUGCGGCGACGCCGCGGGGGGGGUGAAGGCUUUCGGGUUGAAAAAGUCGGUAGCAGUCGAACCGGUAGGUGCCGAGGAAGCCCAGGCUAACUACGUGCCAGCAGCCGCGGUAAUUC